CAACACGAUCACAUGAAUGGACGGCAGGGCGGUGAUGCAAUGUGCGAGUGGAAGCACACACUGUCCGGAGGAUGACCAGGUGCUUUCAAGAAAGAAAGAAAUGUCUCUAAAUCCUAAAAUAAUCCCAAAAUUAGUACAGUUCGAGCAGACUUUAUUCAGCCCAAACUGAUUUUCUCUGAUUCUCAAUUUGAGAAGUAAAAAAAACACAAAACAAAAAAAGACACACUUUAUUAUUCGUUUGUUCGAUUAGCUCAAAAAAAUAACACUUUUAUCACACAUAAAGUUUGUUUAUUUUAAAAAUAACUCCAGCGUGAAGAAGUCUUUUUCAAGCAUAAACUUGAAAAAAAAGAAGACAUGAGUGAAUUCUCACUCAUGACACUGUGGAAUUAACCUGUGCUAAAAAAAAACAAAA